CCUACGGGGGGCAGCAGUGAGGAAUAUUGGUCAAUGGGCGUAAGCCUGAACCAGCCAAGUCGCGUGAGGGAUGAAGGUUCUAUGGAUCGUAAACCUCUUUUAUAAGGGAAUAAAGUGUGGGACGUGUCCUGUUUUGUCUGUACCUUAUGCAUAAGGAUCGGCUAACUCCGUGCCAGCAGCCGCGGUAAUACGGAGGAUCCGAGCGUUAUCCGGAUUUAUUGGGUUUAAAGGGUGCGUAGGCGGCCUUUUAAGUCUGCGGUGAAAGUCUGUGGCUCAACCAUAGAAUUGCCGUUGAUACUGGGAGGCUUGAGUAUGUUUGAGGAAGGCGGAAGGCGUGGUGUAGCGGUGAAAUGCUUAGAUAUAACGCAGAACCCCGAUUGCGAAGGCAGCCUGCCAAGCCAUGACUGACGCUGAUGCACGAAAGCGUGGGGAUCAAACAGGAUUAAAUACCCUAGUAGUC
rnacentral:rRNA from 1 species